ACACCUCAACUCUCAUGGUUUGCCAUGACGAGCUUGGACUUUGGGGGUCUUGCUGGCCUAUGGUCAGCUCCUCUAAAAUGAAUCAGCUUGCCAGUGUUUGGUGGCAUCACAGGUGUGAUAACUAUCUACGCUUGUGGAUUUCCACCAGAUAACCUUCAGCAAUGAAGGUUCGCUGGGGCUCAUAAAUGUCUCUCCUCAGUGGAGACGGCUCUUUUGAAU
rnacentral:misc_RNA from 1 species